UACGUAGGGUGCAAGCGUUGUCCGGAAUUAUUGGGCGUAAAGAGCUCGUAGGCGGUCUGUCGCGUCUGGUGUGAAAAUCCAGGGCUUAACCCUGGACCUGCAUCGGGUACGGGCAGACUAGAGUGCGGUAGGGGAGAUCGGAAUUCCUGGUGUAGCGGUGAAAUGCGCAGAUAUCAGGAGGAACACCGGUGGCGAAGGCGGAUCUCUGGGCCUGUCCUGACGCUCAGGCGCGAAAGCUAGGGGAGCAAACAGG
rnacentral:rRNA from 1 species